rnacentral:rRNA from 1 species
UAAUACGUAGGGUGCAAGCGUUAAUCGGAAUUACUGGGCGUAAAGCGUGCGCAGGCGGAUGAUUAAGUUAGGAGUGAAAUCCCCGGGCUCAACCUGGGAACUGCUUUUAAGACUGGUCAUCUAGAGUUUGUCAGAGGGGGGUGGAAUUCCAAGUGUAGCAGUGAAAUGCGUAGAGAUUUGGAGGAACACCGAUGGCGAAGGCAGCCCCCUGGGAUAAAACUGACGCUCAGGCACGAAAGCGUGGGUAGCAAACAGGA